GACGGAGGGUGCAAGCGUUAUUCGGAAUCAUUGGGCGUAAAGGGUGUGCAGGCGGCCGGUCAAGUCAGAGGUGAAAGCCCGGGGCUCAACCUCGGAAGUGCCUUUGAAACUGGUAGACUUGAGUUCGGGAGAGGGGAGCGGAAUUCCUGGUGUAGAGGUGAAAUUCGUAGAUAUCAGGAGGAACACCAGUGGCGAAGGCGGCUCCCUGGCCCGGUACUGACGCUGAGGUGCGAAAGCGUGGGGAGCAAACAGG
rnacentral:rRNA from 1 species